rnacentral:rRNA from 1 species
UACGUAGGGAGCAAGCGUUGUUCGGAAUUAUUGGGCGUAAAGAGCGCGUAGGCGGUCUAGUAAGUCCGAUGUGAAAUCCCAGAGCUCAACUCUGGAACUGCAUUAGAAACUGCUAGGCUGGAGUGCGGGAGAGGUGAGUGGAAUUCCCAGUGUAGAGGUGAAAUUCGUAGAUAUUGGGAGGAACACCGGUGGCGAAGGCGGCUCACUGGACCGCAACUGACGCUGAGGCGCGAAAGCUCGGGGAG